rnacentral:rRNA from 1 species
AUGUGGCACAAGACCGACAAUACCUUGCCGGUGAUGGUCAACGGCCGGCAGACGGGCAGCAAAAAGGUUCUGGUGCUGCACACCAACAAGAACUUCGACCAGCAGAGGACCAACUGGGUGAUGCACCAGUACCACCUCGGGGACCUGGAGCAAGAGAAGGAGCGGGAGCUGGUCCUCUGCAAGAUUUUCUACCAGACAAACACUAGGGCAAGGAGUAAAAAGAUUAUAAGUCGAGCAAGUUUCAACUGGGUUGUAGACUGCCCAGACUUGGUUUUGUUUUUAACAGGCCCAGCCCAUGAUGACAACGGGGCACAAAGAUCCAGCAGGUAUCUACUGCCCCCCCUCAAAAAAAUCUACUGGCCUCUGGCCCGCCAGCGUUAG